GAUGAACGCUGGCGGCGUGCCUAAUACAUGCGAGUCGAGCGAACAGAUAAGGAGCUUGCUCCUUUGACGUUAGCGGCGGACGGGUGAGUAACACGUGGGUAACCUACCUAUAAGACUGGAAUAACUCCGGGAAACCGGGGCUAAUGCCGGAUAACAUGUUGAACCGCAUGGUUCUACAGUGAAAGGCGGCUUUGCUGUCACUUAUAGAUGGACCCGCGCCGUAUUAGCUAGUUGGUGAGGUAACGGCUCACCAAGGCAACGAUACGUAGCCGACCUGAGAGGGUGAUCGGCCACACUGGAACUGAGACACGGUCCAGACUCCUACGGGAGGCAGCAGUAGGGAAUCUUCCGCAAUGGGCGAAAGCCUGACGGAGCAACGCCGCGUGAGUGAUGAAGGUCUUCGGAUCGUAAAACUCUGUUAUUAGGGAAGAACAAAUGCGUAAGUAACUGUGCGCGUCUUGACGGUACCUAAUCAGAAAGCCACGGCUAACUACGUG
rnacentral:rRNA from 1 species